GGAGUGUACCCACAUAUCCCAACUAUGGAGAGAAGUCGCCAGUCUCUCCUCCAGAGCACUACAAAUAGACCUUCCCCUAGAUCCAUGGAUCUGGCUACUGUCUAAACCCCACGAGGAACUGACCAGGGCACAAAAUAAAUUGGUGGCAAAAGUAGCGCUGGCAACACGGAGACCAAUAGCCACACACUGGGGCAGCACGGAGAUCCC